UACGUAGGGAGCAAGCGUUGUCCGGAAUCAUUGGGCGUAAAGCGCGCGUAGGCGGCCUCAUAAGUCCGUUGUGAAAGUCAAAGGCUCAACCUUUGAAAGCCGAUGGAUACUGUGAGGCUAGAGUCCGGAAGAGGCGAGUGGAAUUCCACGUGUAGCAGUGAAAUGCGUAGAGAUGUGGAGGAACACCGAUGGCGAAGGCAGCCCCCUGGGCCAAUACUGACGCUCAUGCACGAAAGCGUGGGGAGCAAACAGG
rnacentral:rRNA from 1 species